AUACGGAGGGUGCAAGCGUUGUUCGGAAUCACUGGGCGUAAAGGGCGCGCAGGCGGUUUGGUAAGUCAGAUGUGAAAGCCCAUGGCUCAACCAUGGAAGUGCAUAUGAAACUGUCAGACUUGAGUAUCAGAGGGGAAAGUGGAAUUCCCGGUGUAGAGGUGAAAUUCGUAGAUAUCGGGAGGAAUACCGGUGGCGAAGGCGACUUUCUGGCUGAAUACUGACGCUGAGGCGCGAAAGCGUGGGGAGCAAACAGGAUUAGAAACCCCGGUAGUCC
rnacentral:rRNA from 1 species